GAUGAAGAACGUAGCGAAAUGCGAUACUUGGUGUGAAUUGCAGAAUCCCGUGAACCAUCGAGUUUUUGAACGCAAGUUGCGCCCGAAGCCAUUAGGCCGAGGGCACGCCUGCCUGGGCGUCACACGUCGUUGCCCCCCCCCAUCUACUCCUUCGGGAUUGCGGGGGGCGGAUGAUGGCCUCCCGUGCGCCUCGUCGCGCGGUUGGCAUAAAUGCCAAGUCCUCGGCGACGCACGCCACGACAAUCGGUGGUUGCGAAACCUCGGUUGCCCGUCGUGUGCGGUCGUCGCGCAUCGAGGGCUCGAAAAAAUUGCCGGGCUCCGGCUCGGCUUUCAACGCGACCCCAGGUCAGGCGGGGUUACCCGCUGAAUUUAAGCAUAUCAAUAAGCGGAGGA
rnacentral:misc_RNA from 1 species